rnacentral:lncRNA from 10 species
UAUACAGUAAAAAGACCUAAAUAUAGAUAUUAAAGAAGACAUACACAGGAAAUAUCUAUCCCAUAAGAAUAUCAUUACUCUUCAAACUAAUCUAUAUAGUUAAUGCAUGACCUCAAUCAAAGGAGGGUUUUUCAUGGAGCAGAACUCUAAAAUGUAUAUGGAAAAGCAAAACACAAAGAGUAGCGAUGAUUUUAAAGAAGAACAAGAAGAGGAGACAAACUACCAGACACUAAGACACAAUAAAGAAAUAAAGACCUAUUUUAAAAGCAUGAUGGUGGCUCAUGCCUGUAAUCCCAGCAUUUUGGGAGGCCAGUGCGGGCAGAUCACUUGGGGUCAGG